GACGAACGCUGGCGGCGUGCUUAACACAUGCAAGUCGAACGGAAAGGCCCUGCUUUUGUGGGGUGCUCGAGUGGCGAACGGGUGAGUAACACGUGAGUAACCUGCCCUUGACUUUGGGAUAACUUCAGGAAACUGGGGCUAAUACCGGAUAGGAGCUCCUGCUGCAUGGUGGGGGUUGGAAAGUUUCGGCGGUUGGGGAUGGACUCGCGGCUUAUCAGCUUGUUGGUGGGGUAGUGGCUUACCAAGGCUUUGACGGGUAGCCGGCCUGAGAGGGUGACCGGCCACAUUGGGACUGAGAUACGGCCCAGACUCCUACGGGAGGCAGCAGUGGGGAAUAUUGCACAAUGGGCGGAAGCCUGAUGCAGCAACGCCGCGUGCGGGAUGACGGCCUUCGGGUUGUAAACCGCUUUCGCCUGUGACGAAGCGUGAGUGACGGUAAUGGGUAAAGAAGCACCGGCUAACUACGUGCCAGCAGCCGCGGUGAUACGUAGGGUGCGAGCGUUGUCCGGAUUUAUUGGGCGCAGAGGGCUCGUAGGUGGUUGAUCGCGUCGGAAGUGUAAUCUUGGGGCUUAACCCUGAGCGUGCUUUCGAUACGGGUUGACUUGAGGAAGGUAGGGGAGAAUGGAAUUCCUGGUGGAGCGGUGGAAUGCGCAGAUAUCAGGAGGAACACCAGUGGCGAAGGCGGUUCUCUGGGCCUUUCCUGACGCUGAGGAGCGAAAGCGUGGGGAGCGAACAGGCUUAGAUACCCUGGUAGUCCACGCUGUAAACGGUGGGUACUAGGUGUGGGGUCCAUUCCACGGGUUCCGUGCCGUAGCUAACGCUUUAAGUACCCCGCCUGGGGAGUACGGCCGCAAGGCUAAAACUCAAAGGAAUUGACGGGGCCCCGCACAAGCGGCGGAGCAUGCGGAUUAAUUCGAUGCAACGCGUAGAACCUUACCUGGGUUUGACAUGGAUCGGGAGUGCUCAGAGAUGGGUGUGCCUCUUUUGGGGUCGGUUCACAGGUGGUGCAUGGCUGUCGUCAGCUCGUGUCGUGAGAUGUUGGGUUAAGUCCCGCAACGAGCGCAACCCUUGUUCACUGUUGCCAGCACGUUAUGGUGGGGACUCAGUGGAGACCGCCGGGGUCAACUCGGAGGAAGGUGGGGAUGACGUCAAGUCAUCAUGCCCCUUAUGUCCAGGGCUUCACGCAUGCUACAAUGGCUGGUACAGAGAGUGGCGAGCCUGUGAGGGUGAGCGAAUCUCGGAAAGCCGGUCUCAGUUCGGAUUGGGGUCUGCAACUCGACCUCAUGAAGUCGGAGUCGCUAGUAAUCGCAGAUCAGCAACGCUGCGGUGAAUACGUUCCCGGG
rnacentral:rRNA from 1 species